CGACUCGUCGCACUCGGUCAGCUCCACAGAGCUGAUGCCCGCUCUCCUCCCUUCCCUCCUGCCUGCUUGUAAAGAACCUUGGAACUCACGAUGAAUAAACCAUGAUUUAAAAGAAAAACCUGCUGUGAUUUAUGGAAUAAAAGUCUCUGAAGUGCUGAAGAUAUAUUCGGCCAUGCAAAGUGGGACUCCAACAUCUCAAGAGAGUAGGAACCUCAGGAGGAACAAGGGUCUAUGCUUUUCUUGUAGGCAAAACAACCAUAUGCUUCAAGCCUGCCCAGGACAUUAUCAUCAGGGUAAUGCCAAGUGUCUGAGUGGUUAUCUUGACUUCAACACCAUAAUCCAGUUUUUGACUGAUCCUCUGAAGGACUUAUUAGAUGGGGUUCAAACUGUUUCUUCAACCAUCCAAGGCGGUGGGCUAUAAAUACCUCAGUUGUUCCCUGCAUGUUGCCUGUCAUAGAGAUUUUAUUCCUAGUACUAGCUCCUUAAUUCCAUUUAUUAUCCUGUUCUCCUAACCUUUGGCUUGUUCUUUGACUACCUCCUUGCUUAGUGUAUCUGUACUGUGAACUAAAACUCUUACCAGUACUGACUUGGCUUGUUUGAUUUUGAUUUUACAUUUAUGUGUGCAUACCCUGUCUGUCUUUUUGCUGUGAUGUUGUAAGUUAACCCUUUUGUGGCCUGACCUUUUUUCCUGACCUUUGAACAUGUUCAUCUUUUUUUUUGUUUUGACAUUGCUACUCCUUGAACUAAUCUAAUGAAGUUCCAGUUCCAUAGGGACCAUUGUCCUGUUGGGGGUCUGUUUCUUAAGAGUUCAAGGUAUUUUCCAUGUUUAACCCUUGCCUUUUUGAGCCUUGUUUAAUUUACCUCUGCUUGCUUGACUAUGCUUCAUCUCUACUCACAGCCAUGCAAUUUGCUUGUUUGAACUAGAAUUGUGUCAACAACCUUUCCCAUGUCAAUUUUGAAGUUCAAAAGUAGGCAAGGUCUAUAAAGAAUGAGCAUGGUCUACAUACUUCCAUCAUAGUUAUUGUCACAACGCUAUGCCUGCUCUGCUUCCGUUUGGAAAGACCUAUAUAUUUUGCAAGCUAUCCCUUACUCUGUGUAUGCCAGUUAUUUGUUAAAGAAAACUUUGUAUGUGAACAUUAUAAUUCAGCAUUGAAUUAUCAAUUACUUGUGAAAAACAAUAAUAUUAUAUAAAUACUGAAACAAAUAUAAAAAAAUAAAUAAAUACA